rnacentral:rRNA from 1 species
AACGAACGCUGGCGGCAUGCCUAACACAUGUAAGUCGAACGAGACCUUCGGGUCUAGUGGCGCACGGGUGCGUAACGCGUGGGAACCUGCCCUUAGGUUCGGAAUAACUCCCCGAAAGGGGUGCUAAUACCGGAUAAUGUCUUCGGACCAAAGAUUUAUCGCCUUUGGAUGGGCCCGCGUUGGAUUAGCUAGUUGGUAGGGUAAAAGCCUACCAAGGCGACGAUCCAUAGCUGGUCUGAGAGGAUGAUCAGCCACACUGGGACUGAGACACGGCCCAGACUCCUACGGGAGGCAGCAGUGGGGAAUAUUGGACAAUGGGCGAAAGCCUGAUACAGCAAUGCCGCGUGAGUGAUGAAGGCCUUAGGGUUGUAAAGCUCUUUUACCCGGGAUGAUAAUGACAGUACCGGGAGAAUAAGCUCCGGCUAACUCCGUG